AAGCCCCGGGGACCUGAGGCUUUAGGCGCUGCGGACACAGCUCGGGUGCCAGCGAGGGCACAGCAUGGGCAGAGGCUUCUGGACUGCGCGAUGAGCGGAGGCAGGUAACUUCCGAGUCUGCAGACAAGAGGGGAAGAUGAAGGAAGACUGUCCGCCCAGUUCUCACGUCCCCAUCAGCGACAGCAAGUCCAUCCUGAAGUCGGAGCUCUUAAGCUUGCUAAAAACUUACAACUGCUACCAUGAGGGCAGAAGCUUUCAGCUGAGACACCGAGAGGUAAGGCCUGUUUCUCUUCUUUAUUCAUAGGCCACCAUCCAUCUUGGUUUGC